GGAUUGUGGCUCAGUCGGUAGAGUGCUUGCCUCGAAUGUGUGAAGCACUGGGUUCAAUCCUCAGCACCA
rnacentral:tRNA from 1 species